CUUAUAUAGGCUGAGUACAAACGUUCUAAAAGCUAAACAAAGAAACAAAUCGCAACAUUAAAAGAAAAUAUGGUCGUUGGUCCAAAUAAGGCAAGUGAGGUGUGCCUUGUAUCUUGUCAACUUGGGGAGAAAGUUGUGACGUCUUGGAAGCUUCUUGAUGCUCUGGAAUAUCUUAAGUGGACGCUCAAACAAAAGGGGAAAGAUCCAUGGGACAUUGAUGGUAAGUAGAGCUCAGAAUUGAUCCGCUUGAUCAAAUGUGGUGUGGUGUAUCUUAGAGCGUGUAGUGAAGCCUCUAAGUGAUCUAGAUACUCUCCAGGUCGCCAAAUAAAGCUUUGAGGCACGUCCAAGUGUAGAAUAAGGAAGAUUUCCUUAUUUGGCUUCAUUUGGUGCGGUACUUCAGAAAGUAGUUCAGCGAGUAGUUCAGCAAGUAGUGCAGCCGGUCUGUCAGCAAGUACAUCAGCUAUAUGUACUUGUAACAUCUUCGAAUCAAUUUCUUGGUAAAUGAUUCCUUGAUGACUUGAUGUUGCCUCGUUAAAAACCUUUCUAGGUAAACCCAUUGGGACAAACCCUAGAUAAGGGAAAAAGAGUGCAACGGUCAAAUUUCCCCAACAUGGUGAUUCGGCUCGCUGGUCUUUGAUUCUUCCUGAACUAUCGUUUGUCUUCUUAGGAUUAAUUUGCUGGUGAAUAAUUAACCCUAGGUCUUGUGCUUGAUUAUGACUCUAUUUGGGCAAGAAUCCUCCAAAAUGCUCCAUAUCAACUGGUUUGAUACAUGUACCGGUUGGUUUGGUUUGAUUUGGAUGUCCGCAUCAUACCCUCUCCCUUGAAAAAGUUUCGACCUCGAAACUAUACAAUCUUGGUAGGGUGGCGGUUUGAUGGUGCAUGGUGCAUCAGGUGGCUCUCCUUUGAGCAAGAAAGAUAGGAUCGCUCCUCUGUUUUGAUCCGGUGCUUUGAGUUGUCGUGUUGCUUGCUUAAAUCCUUCUCGGGUUUGGGCUUGAGCUUUAAAAUCCGGCGGUUCCUCUUUGAUUAAGCAAGAGUUUGAAACUCUUCUAGUCUCCAUGAUAGAGGGUGUUAGCAUCAAUGGAGCUGGUUCACUUUGGUUUUGAAUUUGGUCGUUGACUUUCCUCACUUCCGGUGAAUCACCUUUAUGUUCCAUGUGUUCUUUGUUGGUACCUGCAAGUUCAUCAGCACUUUGGGCAAGAAACAAGUGCAUUAAAACAGUCAUGGGAUCAAUAUAAACAAGUAAACCAAUUUCGGAUUGAACCAUUUCUUUUCCACAAAGUGAUUCAGAAAGUAUGUCACAAAGUAGAUCAGCUACUUGAUAUGUCCUAAGACAAGAAAUUAGUUCCAUAGAUUUAUUUAAAAGAUCUACUAUUUUCUCACACUCUUUAAGGAUUAACAAGUUUAUUAUCACAUCAUUCGAAUCGCUAGAAACAAUUAGAAGUAAUAGUUUACUUACCUGACUUAGAUCCUCGGUGAGCGUAUCUUUCGAAAUCAACUUGGUUUGUUGAUUUGAUGGCUGGUCCGGUGGUUCUUCUUGCAGCAGGAUGUUGUUGGUAACAAUUUCAUUCUCUUUAGUGACAGAUUUGCAUAUCAAAAGCUCUUGAUAUUGCUUCACAACAUCAUUCGUUGUUGAUCCCUCUUUUGGAUCCACAUGUGUCUCCUUAUUACCUACAUGGGUCUCAACACUUUUGGCACAAGACAAGUGUAUUAAGGCAGUCAAGGGACUUUCAUAAACAUAAUGAAAUAAGUUACUUUGAACCUUUUCAUGUGUUAGACCAGAAUCAACUUCUUGUUUGCUUUGAUCCGAGAGUAACCGUAACAUUGUUGUGGCUUCUCUUUGAUCUUCGCAAAUCUUCAUGGUACCUGUACUUUCACUGGCACUCAAAGACAAGAUCAAGUGCAUUAUACUGGAAAUUGAAAUGAUAUGGAUAGGGUUCUUGAAACUCUUUUCGAAUAUAAGAUAAUGCCAAUAUCGAACAAGAUAAUAAGUUUCGCUUACUUGUGUACCAUGUAAGGUGUUCGGUAUCAAUGCAACCUUGAUGUGGAUGAUCUUAGAAGUAAGAUCAGCUGGUGUUGAACAGGGCUGUAUUAUCACACGUCCUUUGAGGGCUGCUUGAUCAUACGUCUUAUUUCGGCAAACUUGUGUUGAUGUUGUUGUUUCCGAAAGUUGUUCCUCAAAACUUAUGAUAUUCUCAACUUCCUUUAGAGUUGCUACGUUGUGGUCUACUUCUUUAGAUGUGUCAUCCAUGCUAUGACAUAUACCUGCAUCAAUAACCUUUGGCAAAGACAAGCGCAUUAAUCUAGAAUUGGGAAUUUCUAAACUUGAAUUCACUAGACAAUCAUUGAAGUUAGAUGCAUCCACUUUCAAUUAUAUGACAUCCUCUACUUAUCUUUUAUAGCAAGUUGCAGCAAAAUGUCCCUUCUUAUGACAUCUAUAACAUGUUGGUUCAUUUGAUUUUAAUGAAUCAUAGGACAUACCUUGCUUUAGUUCAACAUGUGGUUCAACAUGUGGUUCAGCAUGUGUUUCAACAUGUGGUUCAGCAUGUGGUUCAAGUACCGGUAUGGAGCUCGGUUCUCCUUUUGCACAUGUACCUUUCUCAUUCUUCUUAGCGGGAUCUUGAUCCGCAAUUUGAUUGGAACUAACACGUUGAUGUGUAGUGUUCUCUCGGCUUGGUUCCUUUGGAUGGUAAGUGUGUUGACCAGGUUGGGGAAGACUGUGAGGUGCAUAUCUCUCCCUCAUAAGUAUCUUUAGUUGUCCCCACGUUUUGAGUGCUGGCUCCUUGAACCAUCGUCUAUCUUUUUCUUCUCGGUCCCACCAACGUUUCGCGCUUCCCAUGAGUUGUUCAAGACAAUAGUUGAGCCUCUCUUCUUUGGGAAUGGAAUAGUAUCUAAAGUACUUAUCCAUGUUGAGUUCCCAUUGCAGAUAAUCUCUUUCACGUCCUGCAAAGUCAAAAGAUUCAGGUCCAAAAUACUCAUAACCAUUGUCUAGAGAUAACUUGAGUUUUGUUUGGUAGGUUCGGGUGGGAUUGGAUAGUAGUGGGUCUCGACGAGUGCCACGUUUCAGCUCGCCUCCUCUUAGAUUAGUGAUCCCUGAGUCUCUCUCAGCUAGGUAGUCACGCCUACCACGGGGAUAUGGUUUACGCCACAUUGAUGAUCUCUAAGUCACUUCUUGAGUCACUUCCUGUACUACUCGUGUAUUUGUGUGAAAGAACUUGUGUCUCGGUUUUGCUUGACGUGAGGCUGUAGGCCCUCGGUAUAACAAGGUGUGAUGGUCAAGCUUCUCUUCAUGCCUUGGAAGACGUUGGCAAUUGUAUUCCUUCGCCGUUGCCCCUUUAUACUCCAUGUCAUCUUCCCAUUUAAGGUAAUUCUUUUUUUCUGAAAAAGACAUAGCUCGAGUCAAUGGAGAUUUUGAACCAUGGCUGCAAAAAUCAUCAUUAAAUUUAAUCCAUGGUUUAGAAUAGCCUGUAUUGGUGUUGUAUGAGUCAGGCAGUUCCGGUUCUGGUGCUUCACGGCCUGAUUCAUCUCUUGAUUCAGAAUCUGAAUGAUCAUUGUGAUGCCAAGAGAUGCUUCCAUAAUCGUCUUCCUCAUCCGACAUGACUUGGUAAGGCUCUUCUCCUUGGAUUUUUUCAUCCGAAUAGAACUCAAUGGACUCCAUAUUCGUUCUAAAUUUUAAGAACCGUACCUCACAGACACAUAAAAAGGAAAAGUGUGUCAAACACUAGUUCAACAAAUAUGGCAAGAACAAUAAUUAUAAACAAAAAAUAAGGAAAUAAAUAUUUUAUUUUGUUUUUCUUUUCUUUUUUGAAUCAAAAUCGAAAAUAUAAAGGAAAAACAAUUUUUAUUUCUCUUUUCUGAUUUUAUAAAAAUAAAAUUCCGAAAACUAAUAAAAAAUAUGAUUUUUUUAUGGAUUUUUCUUAUAAUAAUUAUAAAAUAAAUAAUAAACUGAAGCAAAUAUAUAUAUAUUUUUUUAAUGAAAGUACUGAAGCAAAUAAACAAUAACAAAGCAAGAAACAAAUUUUUUUUUUUUUUUGGUUUUCAAAUUUAUAAAAAUUAAAUAACAAAAUUGAAAAAUAAAAAAGAUAUAGGUUGAAAAGAUACAACUUUGGGGAUAGGAGCUUUUGAAGCUCUGAUACUAGAUGAUGCAAGAUUGGAAUCACUCCAACUUUAGAUCACUUGAUGAUCAAGAGAUUCCAAGCUUUUCACGCGGAAGGUGGGAUGAUGAAGGUGGUGAUCUGACACGAUGGCGAUCGCUUCUCUCGUGUGGGAUCGAUUCAAGGGGAAUUAAUGGAUAGAAGGGUGAUUGACUCGCUCAAUCAGUGGGAUAAUCGACUCACUCGAUCAAUGAACGAAUGAAGGAUGUUGAAUCACUCAACAAACUUAAUCCGCAGAAUCCUGAAGUACUUGGUGACUCACUCACAAAGAACUACAAAACAAUGACAAAGACUCAAACUUUGACAAGUAGAAAACGUUUCUAUUACUUUAAAAAUGAUCAAGGGUGCUUUACAAUGAGACUAAUGAUCAGCUUAUAUAGGCUGAGUACAAACGUUCUAAAAGCUAAACAAAGAAACAAAUCGCAACAUUAAAAGAAAAUAUGGUCGUUGGUCCAAAUAAGGCAAGUGAGGUGUGCCUUGUAUCUUGUCAACUUGGGGAGGAAGUUGUGACGUCUUGGAAGCUUCUUGAUGCUCUGGAAUAUCUUAAGUGGACGCUCAAACAAAAGGGGAAAGAUCCAUGGGACAUUGAUGACAAUCGGGUCCAAAUAUGGUAAGUAGAGCUCAGAAUCGAUCCGCUUGAUCAAAUGU
rnacentral:lncRNA from 1 species